GUCAUCUACACCCUCAAGCUCUGCUUGGUGUUGGGCGUCUGUCCCGCCUCUGCGCGCGGACUCGCCCCAAAUUCAUUGGCAGCGGUCUUUGCCUCCUCUCGCGCAGCACAAUUGCGUCUGCGGGGGGGCGUGGCCCGCGUCCACGAAGCAACAUUACCGUCUUUGACCUCGGAUCAGGUAGGGAUACCCGCUGAACUUAA
rnacentral:misc_RNA from 1 species